rnacentral:rRNA from 1 species
CAGCACCUCAAGUGGUCAGGAUGAUUAUUGGGCCUAACGCAUCCGUAGCCGGCGCUGUAAGUUUUCGGUUAAAUCUGUACGCUCAACGUACAGGCUGCCGGGAAUACUGCAGCGCUAGGGAGUGGGAGAGGUAGACGGUACUCGGUAGGAAGGGGUAAAAUCCUUUGAUCUAUUGAUGACCACCUGUGGCGAAGGCGGUCUACCAGAACACGUCCGACGGUGAGGGAUGAAAGCUGGGGGAGCAAACCGGAUUAGAUACCCGAGUAGUCC